GAUGAACGCUGGCGGCGUGCUUAACACAUGCAAGUCGAACGAUGAAGCCCAGCUUGCUGGGUGGAUUAGUGGCGAACGGGUGAGUAACACGUGAGUAACCUGCCCUUAACUCUGGGAUAAGCCUGGGAAACUGGGUCUAAUACCGGAUAGGAGCGUCCACCGCAUGGUGGGUGUUGGAAAGAUUUAUCGGUUUUGGAUGGACUCGCGGCCUAUCAGCUUGUUGGUGAGGUAAUGGCUCACCAAGGCGACGACGGGUAGCCGGCCUGAGAGGGUGACCGGCCACCCUGGGACUGAGACACGGCCCAGACUCCUACGGGAGGCAGCAGUGGGGAAUAUUGCACAAUGGGCGAAAGCCUGAUGCAGCGACGCCGCGUGAGGGAUGACGGCCUUCGGGUUGUAAACCUCUUUCAGUAGGGAAGAAGCGAAAGUGACGGUACCUGCAGAAGAAGCACCGGCUAACUACGUG
rnacentral:rRNA from 1 species